AGAUUACGCACAGGUUAUUUUGAUAGUCUUGUGGGAGGGGGGGUGCGUUCACCUGAUCCUUUGCGGUUUUCCUUCUUCUUCUCCAGGAGAGGCUAUGGUGUGACCAAAUACACGAGUAAAUUAUGGAUUGCCUUUUGUGGGGAAGUGGUUGUUACGGUUUAUGAUAAAUGUAGCUUUCCGGCUUUGCGUCAGCUGCCAUUUGUGUUUGAACAAUGAUGGUCUUUGCCUCUGCAUCUGUGUCGCAUUUAAAUGCACCGCAAACUGUUGCCAGAGUUUCCUGCCUCUGGAUGGGCGAUGUGGUUUUAUCAGAGAGCCUCGGACCGCGAUCAGGAGCGCGGGAGCUAUGAGGAGAUACUUCUGGACUUGGACCUGCUUGGUCGGAAGAUAAAUACAGCUUUCUAAGAGGGCAGUGGCAGAGCCGUAGCUUUUAGACAGCGGCAUCACCAGCAGUGAAAGCUGGACUGAGAGUAGUCUACACAUUCAGUAAAGGAAACUGAUGCGCGUAAGAAGGGAUGCCAGCCAGGCGUGGCUUGUGUUUGAAUAUCCAAUGUGAGAAUGCGUGGGGAGUAUGUAUAUAAUAGAGUCUUUCCAUCUGAUAAACAGUGAUAUCAAACUGAUGAUCAAAGCAAAGGACGAUUAAUAAACUGAGAGGACUCCGCUGAUUUCGGAGGAGCGGGGCGCGCUGGGUACACUUUGUGCGUGCAUGGACCGGACUCGCGUAAACUUUUUUUCUCCCUCUUUGAGUCCACGACACAUUUGAAAUGCCUUCGCUCAAUUUGACAGCUGUGCACACAAUGGCAGAGGUCGGGAGUUUACUGGGGACGAUCGACCUGGAUUUACAAAGCUUUCCUGCACUCGGGAAUAUGCCCAUAGCGGAGUCUCCCGUGGGGCUGAAUGAGCGGCUGGGGCAGAUUGAAGGGAGGCUGCAGCGGGGGUCGCCGACGGAUUUCGGGCACCUGAAAGGGAUCCUGAGGCGGCGGCAGCUCUACUGCAGGACCGGCUUUCAGCUGGAGAUAUUUCCCAACGGGACAGUGUAUGGGACAAGACAGGACCACAGCAGAUUUGGUAUCCUGGAGUUCAUCAGCCUGGCCGUGGGUCUGGUCAGCAUCAGAGGGGUGGACGCCGGACUCUACCUCGGCAUGAAUGAGAAGGGAGAGCUCUAUGGGUCGAAGAAGCUGACAGCAGAAUGUGUGUUCAGGGAGCAGUUUGAGGAGAACUGGUACAACACCUACGCUUCAACUCUGUACAAGCACACAGACACGGGACGCUUCUACUACGUGGCCUUAAACAAGGACGGCUCGCCCAGGGAGGGCGGCAGGACUAAAAAACACCAGAAACUCACCCACUUCCUACCCAGGCCGGUGGAGAUUGAAAAGAUCCCUCAAGCAUACAGGGACUUAUUCCAGUACAGGUGACCAGCACUUACACUUGGAGAGCUGGUUACAGAACAGAAAUAAAAGAAGAGGAGAGAGGGGGCCUUGUGGAUAUUUUGGACCUGGUGCGGAACUGUUUACCCUCAACUCCCCCUGAGGUCACUGUGUUUGCGCUUUCAGCCCACUACCAAGCACGUACAGCACUGACAUAAACAUUGUGCAUGUUCCUGGAUGUUGCUUCUUUGCUUCUUUGGUGGACUUGUGACCUCGGAGAGGAGGGAAAGUUGUCUUGUAAAACCACUACGGACACGGAGGAAGGAGGCCCACAUGACUGCCCAGCUGUGGGGCGAUCAGGACGAUCAAAUCAGCCAUGUCAGCAGUGUGGCUCUGUGAAUGGCAAUAUCGGUCUGUCGGCGGGUCAGUCCACCGCUUUGGUCCAGACUGAAAUAUCUCAACAACUGUUGGAUGAAUUGCCAUAAGAUUCUGUACCGA